GAUCAUGGCUCAGAACGAACGCUGGCGGCAGGCUUAACACAUGCAAGUCGAACGAGCUGGGAACUUCGGUUCCCGAUGCUAGUGGCGCACGGGCGAGUAACACGUGGGAACAUACCCUUUAGUACGGAAUAACUCAGGGAAACUUGAGCUAAUACCGUAUGACUCCUUCGGGAGAAAGAUUUAUCGCUAAAGGAAUGGCCCGCGUCUGAUUAGGUAGUUGGUGAGGUAACGGCUCACCAAGCCGACGAUCAGUAGCUGGUCUGAGAGGAUGAUCAGCCACACUGGGACUGAGACACGGCCCAGACUCCUACGGGAGGCAGCAGUGGGGAAUAUUGGACAAUGGGCGAAAGCCUGAUCCAGCCAUGCCGCGUGAGUGAAGAAGGCCUUCGGGUUGUAAAGCUCUUCGACGGGACGAUGAUGACGGUACCCGUAUAAGAAGCCCCGGCAAACUUCGUG
rnacentral:rRNA from 1 species